AAAUGCACUUAAAUGGCUGUUUAAGUUGACUUGCAACUCUUAAUCUUACAAAGAAUAUCUCGAAUAACGCCGUUUUACCAGCCGGCUCAACCGAGGAUUUCGCACGAGGAUUUUCCUAUGUUUUGGUAUUCCCUGAAACGUCAUGAUCUCAGUUAUCCAAAUAUGGUGUGAAAACGUCAGUCCCUUCUUAUUAAACCUAUCAAAAUGUUCACAGAGUCUCCUCAGUUGCCAAUAGGAAGCCCCGUUUACAGCCUUGUGCGACGCGAUUGGUCUACCUACCAUCCUGUCAGAUUAGCAGUGCUAAUGUAGUCUAAUGCUAGCAACAUCUCAUCACACCAAGGCGACAGUUUUCCGUGCUUAUGAAAGCGCAAUUAAGGCAAGAGAACAUCGUGUGGCGAGUCUUGUGACCUUUCGACGCCUGUGGAAGACCCUUGUGCCCUACAUUGUGCGUACAAAGCCAAUGACUGACUUGUGUCGUUGUGAAUCAGCGUGACUGGCAGUCAUUCCUCAAGCCAUUCUUCUGACCUCUCCCUGGUAUAACCAAACACCAGCAUUACAGAAUGAGCAGACUAUCCUGGCUGGGUGUUCUACAAGAAAUUUGCCAAUUCUGAGGAACGUGAAAUAUGCCUGCUCAAAGAGGAUGCACCACCAAUGCAGAGACCCCCUGCUGUCAAGCCUCCUGGUUUGGAUUUGAAACGUCAGGACUAUCUUUACCAACACAUUUGUGAGUUUUGCACCGACAAUACAAAGGACAAUACAUGCCCAAAACCAGCUGGGGAGGUGAGCUGUUUCACUGAGAAAGAACCUAAGAAACGUAGAGUUGAAAUAUGAUUCCAACUAUGUGUCUCUGUGUUUAUGCCACACACACACACACACUCUCUCACUAAC